UACAGAGGUGGCAAGCGUUGUUCGGAAUUACUGGGCGUAAAGGGCGCGUAGGCGGCUGGGUCAGUCCCGUGUGAAAUCCCUCGGCUCAACUGAGGAACUGCACGGGAAACUGCCUGGCUUGAAUUCGGGAGAGGGAUGUGGAAUUCCAGGUGUAGCGGUGAAAUGCGUAGAUAUCUGGAGGAACACCGGUGGCGAAGGCGGCAGCCUGGACCGAGAUUGACGCUGAGGCGCGAAAGCUAGGGGAGCAAACGGG
rnacentral:rRNA from 1 species